rnacentral:rRNA from 1 species
AGAGUUUGAUCCUGGCUCAGAACGAACGCUGGCGGCAGGCUUAACACAUGCAAGUCGAGCGCGUAGCAAUACGAGCGGCAGACGGGUGAGUAACGCGUGGGAAUCUACCUUUUGCUACGGAAUAACUCAGGGAAACUUGAGCUAAUACCGUAUGUGCCCUUUGGGGGAAAGAUUUAUCGGCAAAGGAUGAGCCCGCGUUGGAUUAGGUAGUUGGUGGGGUAAUGGCCUACCAAGCCGACGAUCCAUAGCUGGUCUGAGAGGAUGAUCAGCCACAUUGGGACUGAGACACGGCCCAAACUCCUACGGGAGGCAGCAGUGGGGAAUAUUGGACAAUGGGCGCAAGCCUGAUCCAGCCAUGCCGCGUGAGUGAUGAAGGCCCUAGGGUUGUAAAGCUCUUUCACCGGUGAAGAUAAUGACGGUAACCGGAGAAGAAGCCCCGGCUAACUUCGUGCCAGCAGCCGCGGUAAUACGAAGGGGGCUAGCGUUGUUCGGAAUUACUGGGCGUAAAGCGCACGUAGGCGGACAUUUAAGUCAGGGGUGAAAUCCCGGGGCUCAACCCCGGAACUGCCUUUGAUACUGGGUGUCUUUGAGUUCGAGAGAGGUGAGUGGAAUUCCGAGUGUAGAGGUGAAAUUCGUAGAUAUUCGGAGGAACACCAGUGGCGAAGGCGGCUCACUGGCUCGAUACUGACGCUGAGGUGCGAAAGCGUGGGGAGCAAACAGGAUUAGAUACCCUAGUAGUCC